rnacentral:ncRNA from 1 species
GAUAUCGCGUUGAGAGGGAAAAGUAGAAGAGUGUUUGCCUUACAGAGAGGACCAUCUUGGCUGGAAAUGGUUCAGGACACACUUUUUGAAUAUGCACCCUUGAGCCUUUUUCCGAAAAGUUUUGAGUAGGGAAAAGCGGAUAGCUCCGUUAAAAGCAAAGAGAUUAGCAGAUAUUUUUACUGCUAGAAAACAGAGUGGAACCGCGCGUUGACGCCUCUGUG